rnacentral:rRNA from 1 species
ACCAAGGCGACGAUCCGUAACUGGUCUGAGAGGAUGAUCAGUCACACUGGAACUGAGACACGGUCCAGACUCCUACGGGAGGCAGCAGUGGGGAAUAUUGGACAAUGGGCGAAAGCCUGAUCCAGCCAUGCCGCGUGUGUGAAGAAGGUCUUCGGAUUGUAAAGCACUUUAAGUUGGGAGGAAGGGCAGUUACCUAAUACGUGAUUGUUUUGACGUUACCGACAGAAUAAGCACCGGCUAACUCUGUGCCAGCAGCCGCGGUAAUACAGAGGGUGCAAGCGUUAAUCGGAAUUACUGGGCGUAAAGCGCGCGUAGGUGGUUUGUUAAGUUGGAUGUGAAAGCCCCGGGCUCAACCUGGGAACUGCAUCCAAAACUGGCAAGCUAGAGUAUGGUAGAGGGUGGUGGAAUUUCCUGUGUAGCGGUG